GUCUCAUAUAAGUCCGAGAGGUGAUGCAUAGCCGGAUGAGGUGAAUUCGGUGAUCCUAUGCUGCCGAGAAAAGCCUCUAGCGAGUUCACACACGGCCCGUACCCCAAACCGACACAGGUGGUCAGGUAGAGAAUACCAAGGCGUACGAGAUAACUAUGGUUAAGGAACUCGGCAAAAUGCCCCCGUAACUUCGGGAGAAGGGGGACCUCCACACCGUGAACCCACUAGCUGGGGGAGCGGGAGGGGGUCGCAGAAACCAGUGAGAAGCGACUGUUUACUAAAAACACAGGUCCGUGCGAAGUCGCAAGACGAGGUAUACGGACUGACGCCUGCCCGGUGCUGGAAGGUUAAGAGGACCGGUUAGCGGAAGCAAUUCCGCGAAGCUGAGAAUUUAAGCCCCAGUAAACGGCGGUGGUAACUAUAACCAUCCUAAGGUAGCGAAAUUCCUUGUCGGGUAAGUUCCGACCUGCACGAAUGGCGUAACGACUUCUCAACUGUCUCAACCAUAGACUCGGCGAAAUUGCACUACGAGUAAAGAUGCUCGUUACGCGCGGCAGGACGAAAAGACCCCGGGACCUUCACUACAACUUGGUAUUGAUGUUCGAUACGGUUUGUGUAGGAUAGGUGGGAGACUGUGAAGCGGUGACGCCAGUUAUCGUGGAGUCGUUGUUGAAAUACCACUCUGAUCGUAUUGGACCUCUAACCUCGAACCCUGAACCGGGUUCAGGGACAGUGCCUGGCGGGUAGUUUAACUGGGGCGGUUGCCUCCUAAAAUGUAACGGAGGCGCCCAAAGGUUCCCUCAACCUGGACGGCAAUCAGGUGUCGAGUGCAAGUGCACAAGGGAGCUUGACUGCGAGACGGACAUGUCAAGCAGGGACGAAAGUCGGGACUAGUGAUCCGGCACCCCCGAGUGGAAGGGGUGUCGCUCAACGGAUAAAAGGUACCCCGGGGAUAACAGGCUGAUCUUCCCCAAGAGUCCAUAUCGACGGGAUGGUUUGGCACCUCGAUGUCGGCUCGUCGCAUCCUGGGGCUGGAGCAGGUCCCAAGGGUUGGGCUGUUCGCCCAUUAAAGCGGCACGCGAGCUGGGUUUAGAACGUCGUGAGACAGUUCGGUCUCUAUCCGCCGCGCGCGUCAGAAGCUUGAGGAAACCUGUCCCUAGUACGAGAGGACCGGGACGGACGAACCUCUGGUCCACCAGUUGUCCCACCAGGGGCACCGCUGGAUAGCCACGUUCGGACAGGAUAACCGCUGAAAGCAUCUAAGCGGGAAACCUCUUCCAAGACCAGGCUUCUCACCCUCUAGGAGGGAUAAGGCCCCCCGCAGACCACGGGAUCGAUAGACCAGACCUACAAGCCCAGCAAUGAGCUCAGGGAACUGGCACUAACCGGCCGAAAACUUACCAACACA
rnacentral:rRNA from 1 species